rnacentral:rRNA from 1 species
CCCUUAGACGUUCUGGGCCGCACGCGCGCUACACUGACCAGUGCAACAAGCAUCCGUCCUUGGCAGACAGGCCCGGGCAAUCUUUGAACGCUGGUCGUGAUGGGGAUAGACUUUUGCAAUUUUUGGUCUUCAACGAGGAAUUCCUAGUAAACGCAAGUCAUCAACUUGCAUUGAUUACGUCCCUGCCCUUUGUACACACCGCCCGUCGCACCUACCGAUUGAAUGGUCCGGUGAAGCCUCCGGAUUGGCGCGCACCUCGGUGCCGCCGAGAAGUUGGCUAAACCUUACCAUUUAGAGGAAGGUGAAGUCGUAACA